CCAAUCUUUUAGCGGGUCAUGGGCUUGUCCAUGGUCUCGCGAAACUUUGUAUUUAAAACCCGCUCAUGUAAAUUUUUUAAAUAUGUGUUAUAUUAUAUUAUAUAAAUAAAGA
rnacentral:misc_RNA from 1 species